CUUGAACAAAAUUUCUUACGAUGAAUUUUCCGAGAAACGAUACAAGAAUUCUUUUUGCUAUUUGUCAUCUAUCAGAUUUGAUGGUACAUGGAUUUGUAGUCUCACUGACGAUGGAAUUGAUGCGCCUGUUCGUAUCGGAUUUUUAUGGAGAAGAAACUUAAAAAGAUGCUGAUUUCACGAAGAUUAUAUAAAUUCGAGGACUGCGACGUGAUUGGAUACUGGUUGAUCGUAGUAGUGGACAGUUUAAUAGCAUCGCAGAAAGUGAGAGUACAUUCUACGUAACGUUAUGAUAGUAGGAUCGUCUAAGGACACCUGUGUCCUGCACUACGUAAUAUUCAUUGUCUAAUGCAUAGUUGAGCAACUCGAGUGGGACAAGAGUGAAAUUGUUAAGCUAUUUGCACUGCAUCCAGUUAUCUGUCUACAAAUUGAAUUUAAUUAAUUUAGGACAAAUAUGCGGAUGUAUAUUUUCCAAUAUUUUCCUAUCCUUUCUCGUCAGUAUAUGAAUGAACGAAGUACGAGCGAAAGUUUCAUUUAAACUAUUAUCAAAUGAUAGUCUCAAGAAACGAAGGAAAAAUUAUUUGUCUAUGAAUUGAAUUUAAUUAACUGGAGAUACAUUGAAACAGGGAUAUAUGGAUUUAUAUUUUUCUGUUAAAAUAUUUUUUUCUCCUUUUUCCUUUUUUCUCUCCGUGUGAAUUAGUAAACCAAGAAUGGAAUUGCUCUAAAAAUACGUGGCAGAAAUGAAGGAAAAAUAAAAUGCUUUGCAACAGGCCAUUAUAUUGAAUCUCAAUCACUUUACUAUAAAUUAUAUGUAUAUAUAACAUGCUUCUUAUACAUAUAAAUACAAUCUGUAUAUAAUAUAUAAUACGUACGAACAACGUAUUUUCGUCUUAAUAAAAAAGGAGAAACGAUAAAAGAGACAGGAAAACACGUGGCACCACGUCAUUUUUCCAUAGAAAAACGCAGAAACUCACGACAUUUCCUCUGUUAAAUACAUAUAUCGUGGACAUUAAUAAUUACUCGUAUAAAAAACUCUACUUAGGUCGACGUUAUUAUAUAGAAAAUGAAACGUUUUCCAAGCAGUCAGGCUUUCAACGUGGAACACAGUUUUAGUUUUCAUCGACGGACCAAAAUUCGUUGAAGAACGAUCAAUAAUGAUCAUACUACCCAUUCAUUAGUAUCUGGACAUUUAGACUUAGUACGUCAAUUUUUGCUUGAUAAUAGACACACGAGUAAUGAAAUGUAAAUCAAUGGAAAAGAUUUAAUGAAAUAUUUAUGAAUUUAAUGGAAUUGUAAAUCAAUGGAGAUUAGGUAAAUCGAAAUGAUUCAUUUAAAAACUUGCUAAUGGUACGCAUACUAGUAAACACCGAUGAAAAUUAUUACUAAUUUUAUUAAUGAGUACAGUUCUUUGUAAAUAUUGUAAAUGUUGAAAUAAUAGCAAGCUUCUGUCAAUUGACCUUUUACAUAACUAAUCGCUUACGUUUAAAAACAAAAACAAAUAGAAACUUUGGUGCUUCUAAUCUUUAUAUUAUAUCUAUAUUGUAUCUUUGAAUCUCCAUAAUAUCUUAUUUUCAUAUUCUAUUAAUUUAAGACUUUGUUUAUCUGACUUAAGAGACUUUUGACUUUGAAGAUUAGUAUCUAGAAAUAAAUUUGUCGUAGAAUAUUCUGCUUUUGGCAAGUAACUUCAUUGUAACGUUUUAUAAUAUCAUAACAGCGAUUACAAUAAAGAAUUAAACCAACGUAAGCUUCUUCUUCGUCUUACGAUUAAGUCGCAAUCUAUCAAGAGUACAUAAAUAAAUGCCCAGAUACUUUUGAGCGGUAAUAUACGUAAACUAGACUUAUCAUAGUAAGUGAUCGAUAGUCGGCUAACAUAGUUUAGCUACCUUUUCAGUUCGAUUAGAAUAAGUCGCGGCCAGUGUCCAUAAAGGUCAGUGUUGUCGUCACUCGUUAAUUAAAAAAAGCAGGAAACUAGAAGUAAAUUUGUUUUCUUAAUUCUUAAUGUUACAUCUAACGAUCGACAGGUUGUUAAUUCGUUGUUUAACUCGUGAACGCUGUUAAUCGUCGACGUGAAUUGUCACUAUAUCCUUUUUUCUUAAUAAAAAAACAAACAAACAAACAAA